AAAAACAUUUCCUCUUGGUAUAAGAGGUAAGGCCUGCUCACUGACUAGGUUGAAGAGCCGCAGUAUAUUGACUGUGCUAAGGUAGCAUAAUCAUUAGUCCUUUAAUUGGGGACUGGUAUGAAUGGCUAAACGAGAAAUUAGCUUUCUUUGUUAUGGUUUGUUGAAUUUAACUUGUAAGUGAAAAGGCUUACAUGAUUCAGAAAGACGAGAAGACCCUAUAGAGUUUUACAAAGGCCUAAAAUACAGCUUAUUAGUUUUUAAGGGUUAUAUUUUGGAAAUUUGUUUGGUUGGGGCGACAUAAAGAUAAAAAAAACUCUUUGUAGUAUAAACUUUGGUGGAGGAAAAGGUUUGAUCCUCUAAAAGGGAUUAUAAGAAAAAAUUACCUUAGGGAUAACAGCGUAAUCUUCUUUUAGAGUUCAAAUCGACAAGAAGGUUUGCGACCUCGAUGUUGGACUAAAAUUUGGGCAAGGUGCAGCAGCUUUGUUUUUGGGUCUGUUCGACCCGUAAUAUUUUACAUGAUCUGAGUU
rnacentral:rRNA from 1 species